UCCUAUGAAUACCCUCCCUCUCUCAAACUCUCUUGAAGGUUCUUUAAACCCUAAUCGUCUUCUACCAUUUUCAACCUCAAUCUCACUAGGAGCCAUGGCCUGUCAGGCCAUGGAUGGCCUAUGCUCACCUUCCUACACUUUAAAUUAUUGGUGCUUGAAGUUUCGUGGUCUAACCUCGAUGAUGUUCGUUUAAAGCUUCUCCGAUUCAAGGUUUCAUGGCCUCUCCUGCCUUGCUCCGGCGUAUCCAAAGCAUUUCGAGCCUGGUUCAGACUCAUCCAACUCAAGAUCAAACCUUUUUCAAGCCUUUCUCAUUCUAGGGUUCCUCUAAAACCCUAGCUAUUCGAGGUUUUCUCUGAUUUUUUUCUUCAACCAGUUCUAUGUCUGUGCUAUACUUGAGUUUUAAAAUAUUUUCCCCAAUUUUUCUUUCAAAAAUUACUUCUCUCCUAUUUAGGGUUUCUGAAAAGUUCAAAAUGUUUCUCCGACUUUUCUUUACCUUUUUCUUUGUGUAUAUUUGUCACGCAUGUGAUUCUACUUCUUUAUUAAGUUUUCCACUAUAUAUGUUCUUCUGUGCCUUGUCUUUCUACUAUAUUUAUACACAAUGCUCACAUGUUCAUCCUGCUGUGCUUUCCUAUACGUCUUGUUGAUAUACUUUUCUAGUAUUUUGUGUUCUCCUACUGUAUGUAUUUCCUACCGGGUUCUUAUGUUCUUUGUUUGCCUUUUACUGGACCUUGUUUGAGUUCUAUUUAAACAUAUUUCUUCCACUAUUUUCUUAAGCGUUAUACUUCCUCUUUUCUAUUUUGAACUUGUUUAAGUCCCAGGUUGUUUUUUUCUUAAACAUGUUCUUUCUACCCUCACUAUGCUUCAAAUCAUUUUCUUCACUUUGUUGUUUCAAACUUGCUAUUUUAUCUGAAUUUUUUCUUAUGAGUCUCUGAAAGAGACCUCUGAGCAUGUUUCAAUUAGUUGUCUCCUCGUCUCUGUAUUUUAUUCGAGUUGGAAACCCUAAGAUUUGGGGGUUUUGGCGUGUUUUGAUCUUGUGUUUGGACUAGGGUUGUAUUUUGGAACCAUGGACUCUCUCAGACUCAUUCUCUGUCUAUGAACUAAGCUUGAACUUCUUUGUUUAUGACUCUAAACUUUUUCUAUGCUAGACUCUUCUACUGAUUAGCAUGACAGUUCUUCAUGCUUAAGCAUGGCUGUAUGUUUUGAUAUGCGUGAUGAUUUCUUUCUUCCGAAAAGGUUUUCAACAUAUGAUUGAUUCAUUAUCCUCUUUUAGGUUUAAUUGAUUAAUACUGAUUUUCCUUAAGUCAAGAUCUUUCCCAUCUUCUUGACCGGGUUCAUUCAGAUGAAAUCUUCAACUUCUUAUUUUACUGGAUGUUGAUUGAUUGGCUUUCCUUAUUUUCACUAAUCGUGUGCUAUCAUAAUUUUUCCUUAAAUAAAUCUCUGUGUAUUUACCCUUCUUGUACUGCUAUGGAAAAGGAUUUGAUCAAUCUUCUUCCUUAAUUAUUUUUUACCCAUUUGAAAUCAGAAUCCAUUAAUUAAAGUUAAACUUUUGUAAUUGACUUCAAAUGAUUCUCCUACCUUAUUUUGCUGGCCUUCUACACUAUAAGAAGGGAAUGAUUCCUUUCUCACCAACACACUCUCAAUUCAACACUUUUACACACAUAAUCUCAUGGCUCUCUUCUAAGAUCUUCUGACUAUUUCCUUGCAAUUUGGCUUUACAAGACUACUGAUUUCUUUUUUUGUUUCCAUGAAACUGGUUGUUCUAAUUUAGUUCUCAACCUCAUCCCAAUGUGUUUAUUUUACAAUUUCUACAAUCCUAUCUACUUUGAUGCUAAGCUUAAUGUUAAAUAUGUAUGUUGUUCUCUGUGCAUCUGUUUCUGCUGUAUAUCCCUGUACCCCUAUUCCCUUCUAUGUUUUUGAGUUAAAGUUCUUAACAUGGAAACAUCCAAAUUGUUGCUCACUUCCGGACUUGAUCUUUUAAGGGAUCCUAACUCCCAAACAAUGUGGCUAACAGGCUGGUUGGGGUGUUCCAGCACUUCCAUUUGCUGGGUAUGACCACCAGCAUGUCUUGGCUUUCACCGAAAUCCCCUCUAUGCACUUAUACUAUCUCAUAGAUUCCAAGUUCUGCCCCACUUCUAUGAGCCUUGCUUUGGGACCUUGAGUUCCCCCUGAACUUGGAUAUUUGGGGACUGGCCCUUCCACACUGCUCUAUAACUCAAUUAUGCAAUAUAUUUAGGUGUAAGUACAUCUGGAGUCCACUUGAGACAUCUAAGGAACUCUGACAUAUCUCAAAAAUGAGAAAGAGUUUGUAAAUUUGAUCUUUGGAAUUGGUUUACUUCAUGCUUCAGACAGAAGUCUGAAUCAGGCUCUCCUUGGUUGGAGUUUUAGCUUUCUGAUGUAAUUUGUUUUUUCCUUUUCUUAUUCAUUCUGGGCAAUAAUACUCUACUAAUAACUUAUGGGGUUUUAGUGAAUAGGGGAGGUCAAAUCAUGCAUGCAAAGGGGUAGAGAUCAUGUCUAUAGGUAAUUUGUAUUUCUGCACUUGUACCUUGCUUACAACUUUCACUUCUGCAUUAUAUAGAAACCAUGCCUAUAGGAUCCACAUUUCAUAUAUAGAAACCAUAUCUGCAGGUUUUACAUUUUCAAAUAGAAAUCCUAUUUAUAGGUCUUGCAUUUUCAUAUAGAAAUCAUGUUUAUAGAUUCUGCAUUUUCAAAUAGAAGCCAUGUCUAUAAGUUUUGCAUUUUCAUAUAAAAACUAUGUCUGUAAAUUUCUGCCUUUCUGUAUUAUCUAGAGAACAUGUAUAUAGGUUUUGUAUUUCAUAACACUACAUAUCAUAUAGAUAACCUAUCUAUAGGACUUCCUGAAUUCUGCAUAUACAUCCGAUUUGAUAAACCCAAUUUCGUGAGAAAAAGGGGGUGCAACAUACCUGAUCUUAUCUGCAACCAUAAAUCUCUAUGUACUAGAACUAUUGAGUCUUGAUCCAUAUUAGAAACCAUGUCUAGUCUACAUGCUUAUUCUGGAGACCCACCGAGGUCAUUUCUGCUGUUCAGUUAUCCGCUUACAUUGAAAUUACAUACUAAGUCAUACGUAUUCAUAUGCAUAUCAUAUCACAGUCUCUGUUGACAUUUGUUGGUAGAUAACAUCAUUAUUUUUGGUCUGGUUUUUCAAGACAUUGAGAGCCCUAGAGAUCGGAGAGAUUGAUAACUGAGUGAGGAUGAGGGCUUGAUGGUGAGGAUGUUUGUGGGAUCAAGCUUUAUGCAACAGCAUGUUUUUUUGAUUUAUGCCAUGAUUAACUUAUUAUAGUGCUUGGGCUGAAAGAACCCCUCCGGAGUCUGCACACACCCCUAGUGAGCGCAGGUACCUACCUAGUACGGGUGCCAAGUGCGAGUACCGUGUGAUGAGUGACCAUGAGGACUGAGUGGUUGUGAGGAGUGAGUGACUAGGAGAACCGAGUAAAUUGAUACUCUGAGAGCAUGCAUAUGCUUUUAUCAUUAAGUUGCAUCAUAUUCGACAUGCACACUUGACAUACAUGCAUGCAGAUGUAUUUUUUUCAUGCUAUACAGUAUCGCGUCAUUUAUGAUUUCUCACACAUAUUGACAUUAAGGCAAAAAGAUGUGUUUUUCUCGUGCCAUUUGAAAAUGAAACAUAUAAUUGUUGAAAUCUUUGGAAAGAACUUAGAGUAUUAAAAUUAACUCAUAUUUUGGCAAUUUCAAAAAAGGAUUUGGUUUUUCACUGAUAUACAUAAAAAGCAGGCCUAUUUUCCAGAACUGUGAACGAGCUGAGGAUUUUAUCUCUGCAUUACUUCUUUUAUUACUUUCAUAAUGUUGUUAUGAACUGUUGUUGGCUAAUGUUGUUGGACUCCAACCUUCGUUCCAGCUCUUCACUACUUUUAACCUAAGGUUGCGUUUGAUACUUAUUGAGUACAUGGGGUCGGUUGUACUCAUAAUACACUUCUGCACCUUGCUUGCAAAUGUUGGAUGGUGAUGUUGUUGUAUUCGAUUGGAGCUGGAUUUGAAGAUGUACCUGCAUUCUAGUUAUAGAUGCCACUUGUUCAUGGUAGCCCUAGACUUAUGAAUGAUCUAUUCAUCUAUAUUUCAAACAGAUGAUGUACUUUAUUUCAC
rnacentral:lncRNA from 1 species